CUCUGAAUUGUUUACGUUUAAGGACGCAUGCUGAACGAUCUUCCCAGAGGAAGCACAUUACGCGUGAUUUCUCCCGGAAAAAGUCACAGUUAUAAGAAGUUUCAAGCACAAACUGUUUAAGGUGGCAUGAAAGUGAAUGAAAAUGGAAAAUGACCAGGUGAAGCAGGAACAACGUACAUUCCUCCGAGAACGAUUCCUGCGAAUGCUUGGUGCUAUCACAGGGAUGAAGGCAGAAGUAACCAUGGUUCAAAAGUCCCAAGUUUCAGCCACCAUAGGUCCAUCAGACAUCGAGUUUGAGAACAUGCAGGUGUCAGAUCUAUACACUCAUCUAGGUUUGAUUCCAGCUGCUGUACUCAGAACAUCGGACGUGGUAUCGAUCAGGAUGGAAAACUACCUCCCGCAUGGCUCUAGCUGAAGUAAUCCGUUCCUGAUGACAUAAUAGAAGCUGCUAAUUUUAUAAAACAUCCUUCACUUUCUUUUGAGGCUGAGUGGUUUAUGUUUUGUUUUGUGGAUGUUUUAACAUGGAAUUUGAAGUUCCACAAUUAGGAAGACAUGCUGUUGAUUUAAAUGUGUUUAAUGUAAUAGGCUUUUUGUGAACCUUUAUCAUGUGUAUUUCAAAUUUUGCCAGGAAAUUAACAUGAAACAAACCUUGACAACCUUUUGGCAUCCUGCUUUCUGUAAUAUGUGUUAUGGAACAUGUUAAAAAAUAUAUAUUGUCUGACCUUGACAUCAGAUUCCAAACUUGGUCAAUUUCUGUCUAAUACCUGCUUGUACAGAUUGUUUGAUGUGUGAUUCUGUUGAUGAGUGGAUGAAGCACGAGUGAUGAAGUUCUGCAAAUAGUUCUCAUCACUUCCAUUGUCAGUGAGAACAUUUCACGUUUUAUGAUGUGGAUAAUACCUGACUGUUGGAUGAUACAGAAUAUCCUUCUGAAACAUUGAAUCAUUAGUUUGGCGAGAUCUUUCCUCUUGUGUGGAAUCCUAAUGCAUCUGAAACAUCUUAUUUUGUGACAACUUUUAUGUAUGAUGUUUUGAAUUUAUGAUUUGUCAAUCAUUUUUAAUGUAUGUCUUUCCUUUUCUUUUAUAUGAUUUCAAGAAUGGUGAAGUGCAGGGCAUUUAGUAUUUGCACUAAUUUUCUGCAACUUGAUGUAUUUGACUUUUACCGUUCAGAGUUUAUCUGAAGUUUUAUUAAGUUAGAGCCUUUGACAGAAAAUGAUGAAGCUUUAUUACAUGUUCACCAAAACUGUUUCAAUAUAUUCUGACAUUUUCCACAUGUCUUAUAAAGAUUCCUGAAUAAAAGAGUCAUCUUUUUGUAUUUUAUA